rnacentral:lncRNA from 1 species
GAAGAUCAAAGUACAAAGUGACUACGUGUGAGUCUUUUUAUGAUAGACAGAGACUGAAGAUUUGUUUCGAAGGUAUAAGUAUAAGUCCUUCAAGGAAUCAGAGUAGAAUUGAGAAUCAACUGAGGAGUAAUUUCUACAUUCUUGCAUUCUAGACAUGGAGCUGGAUUUAGGUUUGUUAAUUUCCUCUCAUAACUGCUUGCCUUUAUUUACGUAAAUGUCUUGAAAACUAAGCUACCCCCCUCCUAAGUCUUCUACAAAUCGUCAGUCUUACCUGGUUCAUUUUGUAUAUUUUUUAUACACUGAAAAUGCUUACUAUUUACAACACUUCCACUUCAUUGGACACUCCUAGUUCCUAAUCUAACAUGUCGUAUUAGGUUGAGUCAUAGUGUGUCACAUGUAUUACAUAGUCAUUUCACUGCUGCACGAUUGAGAAUCUUUGUUUUUGCAGCUAAUAAUUUAUAUCUCUGCUCUAAGAUGUUGAACUCAGUUCACAGAGAUCUACACGGAACUCUCCAACACCAAUCCAAAACACUGUAUUAAACUGGGAUAAAGCCAUAGAGGAUGACACUUUCACACUUGAGAAGAAGUGUCAUUCAGGACGUCCUCGCGAGACAAGUAGCCCUGAAAACAUUACCCGUGUCCGUAAUCUGAUUAACUCAAACCCUCAGCUGAGCACUAAAGAAGCUUCAGCCGACAUUUUUUUACCACCAAACCCGUUCAUCGGAUUCUGACAUAUCAUCUAGGUUACAAAAAGCUCUGGAGUAUCUGGAUAACCUACAAAUUGUUGGAGAAUAAUAAGACAGACAGAGUGAUACUCGGGAUUUCCGGAUCAGUAGAGACGAUCGGAGCAUUAAACAACGUCUAUCUAAAUCUGAAUGACCGUUUCCUGUUCAGGAAGAUCAAACAUCUACUCAGAGAGGACAAUUUUGCCGGUUCUGAAGAGGUUCUGUCUGACAUGAAGCGGCGAUGAAGAAGGCGAAAGAAGAGGAAUUCCUAGACCAACUUAAAAAGCUACGAGACCACUUCCACGAUGUAAUAACAUUUAGUCUGCGAACGCAAUUUGUACAUAAGAGGUGUGUUCAAAAAUACACUCGCCACGAAAAUAUAUUUACUGGUUCAGCUAUAUAAUAUGUUUAGUUUGUUUGUGAGAGGCAUAACACUUAGAAGUAUUUUGUGUAUGCUACAAUUUUAUUGACAAACAUGGAUCAAGGAACUUGCUUCAAUUUUGUGUAAAAAAUAAAACUAAGUGCUCCAAAACACUUCAUAUGUUGACAAUUACAUAAGGUGAAACUGUUGUGAUUUUUAAAAAAAAUGUUUACAGGUGGUACAAACUCUUCUAUGAUGGCCGAGAAGAUGCCAAUGGCAAGCCUCGCUCUGGAUGCCCAAGCACGUCAACAACAGAUGAAAACAUUGAAACAGUGAAAAAAUUGUCUUUGAAAAUCGUCGAAUUAAAGAAAUUUCUGAGGAUAUUGACAUAGAAAUUUCCUCGUGGCAUUUUUUGGCCGAAAACAACACCACAAUCAUGCCUCAGCCACCAUUAUUCUCUGGAUUUGGCCCCAUGUGACUUUUUCUUGUUCCAAAACUGAAGAGACCGAUAACAGGAUGGAGAUUUCUAACAAUUGAGUAGAUAAAGACUGCAUUGCUGGAAGAGCUCAAGGCUAUACCGAAAAGUGCUUAUGAAAAGUGUUUCAAGGAUUGGAAAAAGUGCUUGCACAAGUGUAUUUUUUCGCUGAGGGGGGAUUACUUUGAAGGGGCAAUAUGAAUAUUGAUGAAUAAAUAAAUAUUUUAUCCUAAAAAUA